UACGAAGGGGGCUAGCGUUGUUCGGAAUUACUGGGCGUAAAGCGUUUGUAGGCGGUUAUCUAAGUCAGUGGUGAAAGCCCAGGGCUCAACCCUGGAAUUGCCAUUGAAACUGGAUAGCUAGAGAGUGUUAGAGGAAAGUGGAAUUCCUAGUGUAGGAGUGAAAUCCGUAGAGAUUAGGAGGAAUAUCGAUGGCGAAGGCAGCUUUCUGGGACAUUUCUGACGCUGAGAAACGAAAGCGUGGGUAGCAAACAGG
rnacentral:rRNA from 1 species